CGCGCCCUGCCGCCUCCAGCAGCCCGUGCUGCUCUCGCUGGCGCAGCAACUCGCCACCGAUAUGCUGCACGAGACGCAGCUCAAGUGCAGAUACUUGGAAGAAACUAUCAUCAACUUAAACGCGUCGGAUCCAGCGACGAGAACCCAUCUUCCUUUGGUGAUCGGCGAAGUUCGCAAACACCUGAUUAAGUUCCUCCUGUCUUAUCCCAACCACGUAGCAGGUAGAAGAGUGACCUUGAUCGUUAUGGCUGCUGAUAAUUUACUAAAACAAUGUAAUUAAUGUAAAAUCAAUUAGAAUUCAUGCAAAAUAAAAGUGUUGAUUAUC